AAGACAUAAAAAGAGAUUAAAAAAAUUAAAAAGAAAAGCACAAAAUGUUAAUGGAGAGGUGAAAACAAAAAAAAUAACGACUAUGUAGAGAGAAAAAAAGAGUACCAAAGCUGCUAUGGGCUCGAGGCCCAACUAAGAAAAAAAAAAAGGAAAUACAGAGUGCCAGGAUGGGAAACAGAGGUGGAAAGGGGAAAGGGACUCGAGGUCCAAACUGAGUAAAAGGGAAUGGGGUGCGUGAAGGGUGUGCAAAGGAGAAUAGGGUUUUUUAUUUUAAAAAGAAAAAAACAAUGGAGCCCAACAACCUGGUCCAAGACUCCUAAGCAGAAAAUUAGGGGUUCUGCUCCCCCGUCUCAUUCUGUCAUUUCACUCUCAAAUGAGACGAAAGUGUCUUCCCCGAGAAACCCCAGAGAGGACUCACUUCCGCCACUCACGCACACUGCCGCCGUCGACGAAGCCGACGACCACAAUCCGCGAGCCAAGGCCGCGCUGGCGUCGCUGAUCACCGUCAAGGUCGUUGGUGGCGACCGUUCCGAUCUCUCCCUCCUUCUCUUCUUCGCGCGCGAGGUUGUUCGUGAACGACAACGGCCGCCGCUUGAGCGAAUCCGGCCGCCGGUCGCCGCGUCAAGGUCAUCUUCUCCUUUCUGCGUUAGAGGGUAAAAACCCCUAUUCCUGUGACACGCCCUCACCGUCACCGAUGAAGCCAGCCGCCACUGACACCUUCACGCCCACGGCUGCUCAACCCAAAUAGAAGGUUGAUGAUAAUAAUGGGGUGUAUGAGGGAUAUCAGCUCACAGAGGGCACUGGUUUCUAAUUGUUUAUGUUGUUGGAACGAGUGAAUAAGAAACCAUAUAUUCAAUAUAAUAGCAGAAAAGCUAUCUAACAUUUAUAAUAACAUUUAUAACUUGUGAGCGAUGAAGCGAAGGAGAACUUACUUUCCUCUUGUAAGUGCAAGGAGAGUGGCAAUGAAAAUGGAUUCUGGAGGUGAAUAAUCGUCAAGUUCCCUCUAGGGCGUAGGGCGUGGUAAUGAGAUCUCCCCUCACUCACUGUCCCUGCUGGGUUGUAAUGAACCGAAUCUCUGCUUUUUUUUUUCUGUCUUUUCCCCUUUUUUAUGCUUCAAUUGGAGACACCCUUUUCCCCAUCUUUGGGCUUUUGUUUUUUUCUUUUCUUUCCUUUUUGUUAUUUUCAAAGAAGGUCAGCAAAACGCACUUACG
rnacentral:lncRNA from 1 species